UCAAUUAUUGAUGAGAAUAUGGAGCACUUGGAGUUCUUAUACACUGCUAGCUGGAGUACCAAAUGAGUACAAGCUACUCUGCCAGUACCCUGCAAGCUGAACCUAAUCAACGAGUUGGCAAGUCUACUCCUAGGGGAAGCCUGCUGCCAGGUCACGUAGCCCCGUGGAGACGCCUGCAUGGUGAGGAACUGAGGCCUGCCCAAAACCACAGGAAUGAUCUUGGAUGUGGAUCUUCCAGCCCCAGAUGAAAACAUUGAAACUAAAGAAUGAAACGUGCUGGUCAAAGUCACAGCUCUCUGAAGUAUUAGAGCUGCAACUUGAACCCAGUCUGUCUGGAUAAUUCCAGUAAGCCAGGCUCAGUCAAAACUUGAGGUGAAAGAUUGAUUCCCUCAACACAGAUGGCACAAAAAUCCCAUCAAGUACCAUAAUGUCCCAUGGGGGUCUCAGUUUGAUGAAAUUCCUAUCUGAAGCCUGAAGGAAUUCUGGCCAUCACCAGGUUUUUAAGGAAAGACUGUGGGUAGAA